UUUGGCGAGGCAGUUGGUUUCGCGUUGUGGUAGAAUGAAGAUCGCUGCUAGCGUGCAUUCUUCUGUCGAGGUAUACGCAAGGGUAUGACCUGAGAACUUUGUGGCUUUCACGACAAAAAAAGAGGCAUCGUCAAUCGUUAAGUGUGUUUCUAUCUCGCGAUAUCAGGGCUUGCUACUGCAAGAUUUUACACCAAACAACGAUAAAAGAUUGCUCCUGCCACGAUUCCUUUUGGUGUAUUUUGAAGACAGUUUUCUCAACCAAUCCACCAAUCUACAGAUAUUUUUAUUUUGCCAAUAACUCCGGAUUACGCGUUCGUGUUCUUUCCGAUUGUGGCAAGACAAUCUGGUCACCCUGACUAUUUGUCAGACUGACCGCACAUGACAGACUGAUCGACAGAGAAUACACUACAACAAAAACAACACAAUCGAGUAAGCGUCGUAGAAAAGCCGCUAAAAUUUCGCAUCAAGUCCAUUCCUGCAAAAAAAAAACGUUCACAAGUAAUAGAAACAACGAAAUUAGACUCGUUUUCGUGUAAUCUAAAACUGUGCGAUCGCUAUAACGCCAAAAAAUGAACCACUUCUUCGAUUACGACGAUAGCUACAGUGCCACCAGCUACGAGAGCAGCGUGCGGUCCUCGAUGCAAUGGCCGAUUUCCAAAAAGAGCGUCAUCAAGCUACCGAUUGGCGAUCGAACCAAACCCUACUCAUCGCUGCUAGUUGCCACCGGAUCAGCCAUUUCCUUCCUCGCGGUGAACCGUAAGAAAAUCCCCAACCUGCGCCACAAGGAUGCGAUGGCCUGGAAAUGCAAUCCCGAUGGAAUCGUCCACACGCUGGGAACGGCCACGUACAAUCUGUGCUUCGGAAGAACCACCAUCAAGCACGAGUUUCAUCUCGUACAGAAUCUUGUCAACCUGGAGUAUGAUGGCAUGUUGGGGUGCGACUUCGUAGUGAAAUAUGGAUGCUCCAUCAACUUCGAGCGCUAUCUGAUUACGAUUAAUUUUGACUAAUAGUAGUGUAAAGCAUGUGGAAUUUUGCUACAUACAAUCUAAUAUGAACUUUACAAAACUGAACUUCACAUAGCGUUAUCUGCAAGCAGAUAGAACAUGGUUCUAUUACUGGUGUAAUAGUUUUUCCAUUAUUAUUCAUUUACAUGCCUUGCCUAAUGAACUCAUGUAUUACCAGGCCAUGAAUAAAAUAAUGAACUAACAUCAAUCAUUGUUAACAAAAAGUCAUAUGAAAUAGUUGCAAAAUUUUUAUACGAACCCUUGCAUUACGCAACGAACAGAUUUGGAGCCAUCAUGAAGGUUCGUGCGAUCCCCUGUAUUCCGUACACCGCAACGACACAACCGUCUUAAGGAUGCGUUUAGUUUUCAGCUGCCGGCUGCUGGAAAGGAGCCGAAUUAUUUUACCCAAGGAUUUUUGUCCGCCAUCUCACAGCACAAAGGAAAAAGAAAAGGUAAGCAAAUGGGACCGGGCGAACCGACGGCGGCACCGAGAAUGCAAGACGCGAAAUUAAUCCUAUCAAAUAAUCGGCCAGAUGACAAUGUCCUAGAGUUUCUCGCUUGCUGGGAUGCUUGUUUGCUGCUGGCUCCACUUGGAUUGCCCUUUCCGCCUUAAAGGAUAGCGACCGCCCGCGAGUAGUGCGCCCGAGUCAUAGUAGGCGGACGAGCGAAAAUUCAAAUUUGCAUAAAUUCCACCAUGACACCGCGGGUUAGCGCGCGGAACCAGGCCAUGCUCAGGACCGUGCACCCCGGGGUGUAGUGGGUGAAUUUGGGUGUGUUUUUUGCUUUCAUUUAUUUUCUUCUUGCUUUGUUGUGGUCCUUUCUUCCUCCCCAAAAAAAAACCGCGACCAACCCUCCCCAUGUUGUUGUCGUGCGGCCUGAUCCCGUCGUGCGCCGGAUGAACAUAAAAGCACAAGACGGGGGAAGGACAACAAACCACCCGGAUUGGUAUCUGUUUUUCUUAGAUUCAAAAUUGAAUUAAAGCAAGUCACCUAGAAACCCCCGACAGUACCCCGGCGCACAGCAGCUGUCCUGAGGUAGGUGUUUGUUUUUUGUUCUUUUAAUGCUUUCCGGCGGUUGCUCACUGUCCCUCCCGCCGAGAGGCUAAGCGGAAUAGCAAAAGGACACGCAGAAGUACGCGCGGCGAGAAAACGCGACGAAUUAGCGAAGCUCAAGAUGGAGCUUCUUCCCCUAAAUUGAACCGGAAUUCAAUUUAACUGUCACUGCCCGGUGUGUUGGCCGACCGGAAGCAUCUUUUUGGAAUUGGUUUGUAGUGAAAGACGAAUAUUUCUUGGCGUUAGGAGAGAGCUUUGUUUUUGAAAAAGGUAGAGAAAAACUUAUAUAGUAGUUUAGGUGAGUUUUAGCGUAUUUUUGAGCAAUCAAAAGCCAUAAAUUCAUUAAACUUGAAUUUCAGUAUCAAUUCCAACCACCCUCUUUUAGUUGCAAGAAAUAUAAAUAUCUUUCUUGCCACUCACCUGCCAUAUUUUCCUCACAAAUUCGUGUCCAAAGAUGUCACCGGCAAGUUUCAAAUUUCCCAACCAUCUUUAACGCUAAUUAUUCCCCUCGUUCGCUUGUUAGCGCUUGUAUCGUCCGCCAUCUUCGUAAUGCAACACCCAUGUAGUUCUCUUCCCUUUUCUAAAGCAAGAAAAAAAGCUCAAAAACACACUCUCCGAACCAGAAUGAAUAAUGGUGUCCCGUAUGUGGCCACAAACUGCAUUGUGCGACGGAAUUAAAACAAAACUAAAAAAGCACACACACCUAUAUGACACGAUGGAAGAAAAACGCGCGACCGCCGCCGAAAAAGAAACGACACAUGAUUGAUGAAAUCUUCCGACUGUCGUUGACAGUUAUGAAAUAUAUACCACGGGCGCUCGCGGGCAGCCCCACCAAGACACACGGCUGUAGGGCUGAAACAGGGCGCUCAGCAUGAAUGAUAGCUGUACAACAUGGUCACUUAUUUGUGACCUGCUCUCUCCAUCACCGACCGCUCCACUGAGGAGAGGCGUGAUCGAACGACUUAUGGUUUAUGUUUUACAGCGUGCUGCGGGUACCAUAGCGACCGUGCGACAGUGAAAGCAUGAAUUUCCCCCCGAGAAAGAUGGAUGGUUUUUUUAUGCGUUUGCACUUGCACGCUUGCUAAGGAAGGUAUAUGGAAGGAGUGUCGUAGCUUUCCUUUUUCUCUCUCUCUCUCUUUCUCUCUCUCUCUCUCUCUCUCUCUCUCGCUCUCUCUCUCUUCCUUUAAUUACCGAUCGAGCGUCAAUGAUAGCGGUUUAUAAACCGCAACAUAUUUAAUCACCUCAACUGCUGACCACAUUUCCUUCCCGGUCAAACGACUUCAUCCCGGCAGGGAGCGUAAUGAUGGAGUUAAACGUUUUACGACUGCCCGCUUCGCGUCCCUUUCCGGCCGAAAAAGGGGUGAUUGCAAGAGGGAAAGAUUCUGUCGAACCACUUAGCCACACAAACACACACACACACACACACACCAUCGAAGGUUCCAAGGUCCAUCCCGUUCGUACAUUUGUUGCGGUUCGAAAUGUUAAUUUUACUACGCUUUUACUUACCGAGGCCCAUACCGAGUGGGCUGAGUUCCCCCGGGGAGCUGCGCGGUUACCACAAAUUUGUUAGAGGAAAAGGGGACGCAUCCGCAUCGUUUUGUAAAUCGGAGCUGCGGUUGCCGUUAAGUGACCCCGGCUCCUAGGUACAGAGGGGGGAGCAUGUUUGUGUGUGCGUGCGUGUUUUUGCGGUUUUUCCUUAACAGCCCUCUCUCGGAUGCAUGGGAAAAACUGGCAAACCGAUAAAGAGAUAAAGUGUUAUUGGGAGUUUGGUUGGGUUGGAUAAAAUGAAAAUGGUUUCCCGCAGUAACAACAGGGCGAUUAAUGUUGGCCAACAUGUGUUUUAGUGCUGUUUUUUUUUUUUUAUUAUGCAUUUUUUAAUGGUUCAAGUGUGUUCUAAGGGGUUGGUUUAUAAUUGGUGAAAGAUAAGAAUUAAAUAAUAAUAGUGAAAAUAAUAGGUGAAAGAUAAGAAUAAGAAUUAAAGCAAUUUGCAUAUUUAUAAUAAUGGCAUGUGUACUAGAAAUUACUUUUUUUAGGUCAAAUUUUAAUCACAUAUUGUCCUUUUUGUCCUUUGUGUCCUGUCUUCAGGAUUGUUGUGUUAUCUUAGAUUUUAUUGAAUCAUUCCACUGCAAUGUCUCACAUUUGAAGUGUAAAAAUAUAUUUUUUCUUUUAUUAUUGUUAUGCUUUUAACAGAAAUGUUUUAAAUUGUUACAGAAAUGUUACUCGUCUCUGUAUAAAUUUGUCUCUUAAAGGAGCUUAGAAUAACAUUUUCGCAUGCAAAACAAAAUAAUCAUCAAAUUUUUAAUAUGUAUCAUUUAUUUUUCCACCCAAUUUGAUUGAUAAUAUACUUUUCUAAAACAUUUCUUUGUCCUAUUAUGGAACACUCUUCUACUGCGAGUGUGAUCUUGCUGACAGCCGGGCCGUAAAUAACGCUCUAAUUUACCAAUUGUUCCACACUUGUUCACCCUAGCAAAUGAUUGCCGUACUUAGAGCCAAAUUUACUACCACUCGCUACUUUCAUCGAUGAUAAACGGGGCCUCCCCUCCUGAUUGCCCUCUUCCACCACUUCCAAGCAGUACACAUCUUUCGAAAACCAUCUCUCCACGCUUUCAAGUGCACCAAAAGGGGGCAUGGGGCUGUCUCUUUACUUUAGCACGGUGAAAGAUUUUCCGGCCCAUCAUCACCAUCAUCUUAACGCACGCAGUUUCGCACGCAUCUCUCACGGCCACGGUUCACAUCCGGAUACGGGAACACGCACUCCCUCCCAUCGAGUCCCGCAACGCUCCGCAAUAAGCCCGCAAUAAUUUCCUUAUUUUUAUUCGGGCUAGAACAUAUUCAUUGCGUUAUAAAUACCAAUUUACGCUAAAUAAAUAUUUCGUUUUAUUGCCCUUUCAAUGCGACCGGGGGGCCGUAGAGAGGGAGAGUGGGAGCCGUCCCAUCCCUUUACCAGCCUUUCUUUUGGGGCGACCUUUCGUCGACGACGACGACGACGAUGUGUGUGCUACGUUCCUCCCGUUGGCUGUUUGGCGGGAGUUGGUUGUCUGGCGUUGCGGCGUGUUUAAGGAUGCUUUUUGGGGGCUGCACCGAUAGAGAAAGAUACACCGAACCUUUAAAAGACGCGCCGUCGUUAUUCCCACGUGCCCAUCUGUUUUCUGGGGUCGUUCUCAUGGGGGGAGGAACACGGGGAAAGUGAAAAGAUGACGGAAAAAGUCAUCCCGUCGCCAGCGUUGUUUGUUGUUGCUGUUGAUAUGGCUGGUGGUUUCUUAGCCCGUCUAACAACCAGCGAAAGGGCAUAAUACACAAACACACAUACACACACAUUAACCAUCCCGUCUGGUAUGAGACAGGGCGCACAGAAUGGCACGUGAGAAGACAUUUACCCCGUGUGGAGUGGCAUUUAAGGCGCACAUACCGCGGGCCGGCCAGAAUCGGCGGGUUUAAGGUGAGAUGUGAAGCAAAUGAUGUGUGCAUUCCAAGGCUGAACUGUGAAUAUAUAAUGCUAUAAACAGCAGAAGAUUCAAAGGAUGAAAACAAUACACACAACUUAUUAUUUAUAUCAUUUACUAAGACGUUUUAGAACAAUUUUCAUUAAUUUAUCGCUUCCUUUAAGAGAUGAGGAUCACUAUUGAUGAUUUUAAUCAACUUAUUUAGAUGUUCAGGUGCUCGCGUGUUUUAUAAUUUUCCAGCAUAUAUUGACUCUUACAAUAAUUUUAAAAAAAACUAACAAUCAACUAAACAUAAGCAUAAGAGCAAAAAUAAUUAAAAACUAAGAAGAUUCAAAGAAAUUGGGCAAAAAAGUUGCCAAGGCUAAUUAGUAACAUUAACUAGCUACAAGACACUGAUCGUGAAAAGGGAAAAGUGAAAAGAAUGCAAAGGAUAAAAAAGACUAGAACAAAAAACUAGUCAUGAGUAAUUAAAUAGUAACAAGUAAUUGGACAUUGGAAUGGAAUGGACGAAUCUGUUAAAAGAGUGAAUAAAAAAUAGUUGAAAAGUUU